rnacentral:sRNA from 1 species
AAAUCAGCCCCUUUAAGAUGAGGUUCUCAGUAUUGUGUGGUGUAUUUCUACUUUUUGUAGCCUAUGUUGGACUAAGUGAGGCACAACCACCCCCCUUUCCCUCGCGACCCCGUUUCACUCGUAGACCAGAACAAGGUAAACACGAUGCUCCUCCACCAAAGAAGGACUGAUUCCAAAAAGAAAAACGAAAUGAAUAAUAUAUUAUAGUAUAUUAUUGUAUUAUAUAUGUGUACCCUGUCUUUUACGGAAAAGAAUAAUAUAUGUAGGAUACAGUA